GAUGAACGCUGGCGGCGUGCCUAAUACAUGCAAGUCGAGCGAACAGACGCGGAGCUUGCUCCUCUGACGUUAGCCGCGGACGGGUGAGUAACACGUGGAUCACCUACCUAUAAGACUGGGAUCACUUCGGGAAACCGGAUCUAAUACCGGAUAAUAUCUUGAACCGCAUGGUUCAAUAGUGAAAGACGGUUUUGCUGUCACUUAUAGAUGGAUCCGCGCCGCAUUAGCUAGUUGUUAAGGUAACGGCUUACCAAGGCUACGAUGCGUAGCCGACCUGAGAGAGUGGUAGGCCGCACUGGAACUGGGACGCGGUCCAGAGUACUACGGUAGGCAGCAGUAGGGUAUGGUACGCAAUGGGCGAAAGCCUGACGGAGCAAGGCGGAGCGAGAGAUGACGGUCUUGCGAUCGUAAUGCUGUGUUAUUAGGUAAGAACAAAUGUCGAAGUAACUAUGGACGGCGUGACGGUACCUAAUCAGAAAGCCACGGCUAACUACGUG
rnacentral:rRNA from 1 species